rnacentral:piRNA from 2 species
UAAGUAUGUAAAUCAAAAUUAGAGCAGC